UUAUGAAAAAUUAUGGUCAUUGCUCACUGUAAUUUUGUUUGUCAGGAAAAUUGGACAUGUAUACAUCGCUGCAAAGUGCUUCAGCUGAAGAAAAGAAUACCUCACUGUAUCUGUCUGUGUGUUACUCCCAGCUAGGGAGCUUGAACAGGCUCAUUGUGUGAUAAAACAGUACAGGACAUUAAUAUUUCUAACUUCAGCUCCUGUAAAAUGAAACAUAUUUGAAUUAAAUUGUCACUUGCAUUGCAAUGCAUUGACCCUCUGCAUCUGAUUUUUAAAGUUCAGAUUGUUCUUUAUUAGAGUUUUGGAUUGUUAAAGGUACCAACUUUCCAACCAGUGCAUGAGAAUUAGUACUGAUGCUUUUUUUAAGGUGUAUAUACAACACAAUUAGAAUUCCAUCUAGAGAUUUGAUUGUUUUCAAAUAAUAUUUGUUAUUCAUCAACCUAAUUCUUUGUGAUAAAGUAUAUAAUUUUGUAGCAUUAAGUGUUACUGAGCUGGUUUAAAAAGAGGUUAUAAUUUACUAAAAAGAUUACAAUAAAUACAAUGAUACAGAGAAAACUGGUUUUAACCCCCAAAGACAGAUGUAUAACCCAUCACCCUGGGACAAGAACAGAACAGUGUUUGUUGGCCUCUGUGCUGAGCACCACAUGGCCCCCUGGGUGCAAAAUAAAAGGAAAGGAAACCUGUUGGUCUGGAUGGUGGUCACAGUCCUGUUGAGGUGACGAUCACAGUCCUGUCCAGAGUGGCAUCACAGUCCUGUUGGAGUUCUGGUCCUCCUCUGGAUCCAGUGAGUGGUACCAGAAGUCCCAGGGCUAAUAAGUCAACUAUGGGAUUUACUUCCAUUAUUGCUGUGGAGUUUCUAGAAACUUCAGAGUUCAGAGGAUUCUUACAUUACAGUGUGAUGAGAAACUAGUUGUAUUUUAACUUUAGGGUAUUCCUACAACUAAAAUGUGACAUGAGCAAGUAGCUGGGACCCCACUGUUGGUUGUCUUUUCAGUAGUAGAACAGCAGAAAGCUCUGAUAGGAGACUUCUGAACUUUGUGUGAUAAAAUAUUUUAGGGACUCCUGCCUUUCUGCUCAGUAGCUGCUGUUUCUAAUUGGUAAAAGAGGCAGAUGAAAUAAGGUUCUUUAACUCUACGGAAACUUGUGCAUAUGUUUGUGUAGGGAUAUUCUAAUACUUAUAAUGGUAAUUCCUGAGUAUCUGAGUGGAGCUGAAGCUGUUGGUAUCUUGAGGCCUUGUACACACUGUACUGGCAGCGUGUUUUAUCAUGAACAGAGUGCUGUAAGCAGCACUUCCUCGAGUUUGGGAUCUGGCUUGAACCUUGCUGAGAUCAGAUCGAGUGUUACAACUUUGAAGUUGUGUUGAGUCUGUGACUAAUUUUAGGUGUAUUCAGAUUACAUGCACUAGGUGAAGACAGAGGCGGGGUAGAGCACCGCUAGAAGUUAUAUAUGCAGUGAGUUGAAAGCAUUACAAAUGCCUUUUGAUGAUUCUCCCUCUUCUAUGGCAAUAAUAAAAGUCAAAGUUUUCAUUUGCAUGUACGUGAGCGUACAGCAGAUAUGUCAGCAAAAUUGAUUUUUAAUAGAGAGCAAGUAGUCAGGGGAGUUUUUCAUCUAACAAACUUAAAGUUCAACAAAAGUGCCAUAAAAGGCAACAGAUGAAGUGCAGCUGCCACCUUUUUGGUUUUUUCUGUGUAACUUCAGGAAUAGGGACAGGGGAGGAGAGGCUGAACUGUGGGUAGAGUCCCUCUGCUAAGUGGUUAAUGUUCUGAGGAGGGCUUUCUCCUCUCUGUAAGUACAGAGGGUACUAAAUAGAAAUUUCCAGUUUCCAGUCAUUAGUGAUGUUUUUGAUGCAGAUGUCAUAAACUGCUGCUGUUCUUUUAGUUCGUUUGUUUGUUGUCUUUUAAAGUAAUUGAUGCAGUCACUCAACUAAAAAUUUGCUUAGUGUCGAGUGCACUUUCUGAAAUGCCACGCAGCCCUGUUGGCAGUAUGCAUUUCUCUAUGGAGUACUAAAACCCCUUCAGACUACUGCCAGACUGUAAAGGGCAUAAUGGAUUAUUUGGGCUUUAAUGACAUUAGGAUUCUGAUAUAUCAGUUUCUGAUUUUAGUUGGAUGCAGAUAACCUGAUGUUCAUCUAGUCAGUGCUGGAAUGUAGACUGCAGUUGUAAUCCUCAGGGGGACAAAGUGAUAAAGAUACGUGGGGGAAGAUAAUCAGUAUUCAGCAGCUUUGACAGACCGAACAGAGCGUCAGGGAAACAAAAUCUCCUUUCCUACUAGCUUGGGUAAAGAAACUUUUACCUGUUUAACUGUUGCUUCUGGAGGAGUCCUAGAUUAAAAGGAGUUAGGAAGAGCUUGCUUCAUAUCUGUGUAGACAAGGGCCAGGCUGUUUCCCUCCUGGAUUUAACACAAUUACUUUGAGUGUGACCGUGGCUUAGAGUAGUUUGUGUUCCACUUGUUACUGUUUUGAUGUUGUGUGUGUGCUGAGGAAAGAUCUGUCAGAUGAAUUCCACUGGGGACAAAUAUCCCUUCUGCUAAACUGAUCAUUUUUAGGAAGACUCAAGUGAGGAUCAGUGCAUGGCAUAACUAAUGAAACAGCAGACAGGAAGGACACAGGAGACCAAAGCUUUUUGUCUGUUCCCUCUGUUCUUCCCUGAUGCCAGUGUUUGUUGUUAGAAGCCACUUCAAUUUCUGUUUAGUCUGAAUGCCUUUAGCUGCUUUUUUGGCACUGUUGAUGAAAGACUUUUUGCCCUGCACCAGUUACCACAUCUGGGGGGACAGGAUGGUAGUUUCUGUAAUUUAAUAAGCUGACAUAGGUGUUAGAAGGAAGAUGACUUUUUCAUAGUAAACUACAUACCAGCCUUAAUUCUGAUUACCAUAGAUACAAUCUACAAUUUUCAGAUCAUAUUAUGGUUAGUAGUGGGAGGUGGUGAUGGGUGGUGUUUUGUGGGGUUUUUUUUAGUUUUGUUUCUGUUUUAUUAAAUAUAUCUUAAAUAAUGGAAGCUAUCUACAUGAUUCUUAAAUUGUUUCAACUACCUCUUAAGCAAAGAAUUAGCAUACAGGGUAUGCUGUUCCAGCCUCUUGAUUCCAGCUUCUUCUGCUUUUUUGAAUAGUAUCCUGUUGAAUGGGAAUUUUAGAGGUGGGGAGUGUGGAAGGGGAAUUAUUUGGACUUUGUAGUUCGCUAGUAUGGUGUAAUAAAUCUCUCUAGAGUUGGUGCAAGCCUUGAGAAGACUCCUUAAUUUAUCUGUGAACCUCAACUACAGCUUGUUGGUCAGAGGGAGUUGUUUGAAUCAUAAUUUAAAAAAAAAACAAACCCAAACCAUAAAACUCUCCUCCCCCCAAAAAACUAAAUGAAAACAAAAAAACCCAAAUAAAACCAACAACAACAAAAAAACUCAAACCUAAAAUUUCUUACGGUACCUUAACCUCUCUCAGGUGUUACACAUCCAGCUUUCAAUAUGCUGUGCCCCUUUUUUCUUCUGUUGCAGAGCUUGAUUGUUCUGUUCCUUUACCUGCUGAAUGAUUCAGAGUGUUUGAGGCCAUCUUUACACUUAGUUGUAAUAAUUAGGAGGGGUUUGGAGAUACAGGACAGUAAGUCCCAGCACAUUAUGGUAGAUGUGUGCUGGUCAGAAUAAUAUUGCUCAGAGUGUAGACAUGCAGGUGUUGCAGCUCUAAGAGAUGCAACUGUUCUGUGCCAAAAAAGCAAACAAAGUCCUGUAAAAUAUCUGAACACUUAAAGCUGUAACUUGGUGUAGUGAUAGUAGUUAAAGAUGAACUUUAGCCUUGAUUAGCGGCAUCAAAUACAAUUGCAUUUUUUGAGAAAACAGACUUUGGUCAUGCAGCUUCUAUUUCUUUUCUUAAUAUUAACAUGAAUUACUGUUCCUUGGGGUUUUAUGUUCCCCUCAGACACAGGUACAGCUGGGUUUUAUCUAUGCAGCAGGUGUUACUUGUUCCUUCAUACAGUGCCUCUCUAUGAAAACUGCAGCUUUUCCUUGUUCAAAUUUGACUUAAGACAUUGAUUGAUUGGCUUUAACUUCUUUUUGAGUAUUGACAGUAGCUGAGCAGUGAACUGAAUAAGUUUACUGUUGGAAGUUGUUUUAAUAUAUAUGAAGAUGACACUUAAUAUGAACCGUGGAAUAGAAGGUUGGGAUGGACAAGAUAAAUAGUACCAGACAGUGGAAGAAUCUCUCCACUGACUGUGGCAAGUGAAAAGCAGAAAGAUCCUGUAAAGAUAGAGGGUAGAAGGGAAGAAAACCUCCCCUGCAGCUUAGCUGUUUCAAACUGUCUCAGAAUGUUUGUGUUGUAAACAGCUCAGACUUGGCCUUGGAUUUUUUUAGUUGCUGCAGAUUUUUGCGAUCAGGGGAAGUGUCAAUAGAAAGUGCAAACCCAGAAACAGAUGGUACUUGUUCUACAGGAAAAAACUUGUGCUGAAAUUUGUAGGUCCAGAGUAUAUUGCUUUAAAAUAUAUAUAUUAUUUUGAUUGUAUCCAAAAGAAUAUAUACAAGCACUUUGUGCAGACUGGCAUUGCCUUUAACUACUUACAUUCUUCCUUAGCUUUAAACUUUGCUUUUUUCUUAUGUUCAAUAUGAAAACUUACUGAAAAUAAACUUAAUUUGUGUGUGAAA